UUAAAUAUUUGCUUAAAAUGGAAGAAAUUCCACAAAAUAUAAGAGAAAAAUCCAUAAAAGCGACCGAAAAUCUUUUGCCAGUUAAAUCAAGGCAACAGUAGGAUCGGGAGUAUGGCAUAUUUGGUAUUUGGAAAGAUGCCAACGCAAUUGUUCAAAUACCCGAAACCGUUCUAAUGGUAUAUUUUCAGGAACUGUCGAACAAAUAAAGUCCGAACUCUCUCUGAACCAAGUAUUCUACCCUAAGGUCGUUAAUGGUCUAUAAAAAUAUAGACAUCUCGCAAUACCAUCGUCUCAUAUCUUUUUUAAAAGUUAAGUCGAAAGGAUAUGUCCUGAAGAAGUCUAAAGUUUUGGAAGAAGACAAAUAAUAAAAUUUAUUAAGAAGGCGCCUGAUGAUAUCUACUUGGUAUACAAAGUCAUAUUGGUAAUGGGUGUUUUUGGAGGUUUAAGAUGAGAUGAGUUGGUCAAAGUGACCACUGAUGAUAUUGAAGAUAGAGGAACGGUCUUGGUUAUAAAGGUACCAGAAACUAAAACUUCAACUUCAAAAAGUUUUACUAUCAUUGAAGAAGAUUUAGGCGCUUUAAAUUUAAUAAAAAAUUACGCAGCAUUAAGACCAGCUGGAAUAAAGGAGCGAAGAUUCUUUCUUACGUAUAGAAAGAGUCGCUCUACACUUUACGCUUUACACUUUACGGAUACGCAGUACAACCUGUUGGAAAAAAUACCAUAAGAAGCGUCCCAACAUUGAUCGCAAAAUUUUUAAAACUGAAUAAUGCAGAAGCUAUUAAAGUAGCCAAAAUGAUUGCCAAUUCAGUUAAUUCGGAGGUUAAUUCCGUAUCGACUAUUCAAAAUUCUUUAAUGGACAAUUUACAAACUAUACAAAAUAGCGUUAGUGCUGCCACCUCUACCAUCACAAAAAACACCGACCAUUCUAUAGUGGGAUCAGCUACAUUUUCCGGGACAUUUCAAAAUUCUAAUUUUUAUUUUGGAAAUAAAGUUUAUUUUUUAGUAUUUAAA